GACGAACGCUGGCGGCGUGCUUAACACAUGCAAGUCGAACGGAAAGGCCCUGCUUGCAGGGUACUCGAGUGGCGAACGGGUGAGUAACACGUGGGUGAUCUGCCCUGCACUUCGGGAUAAGCCUGGGAAACUGGGUCUAAUACCGGAUAGGAGCCAUUUUUAGUGUGAUGGUUGGAAAGUUUUUUCGGUGUAGGAUGAGCUCGCGGCCUAUCAGCUUGUUGGUGGGGUAAUGGCCUACCAAGGCGGCGACGGGUAGCCGGCCUGAGAGGGUGGACGGCCACAUUGGGACUGAGAUACGGCCCAGACUCCUACGGGAGGAAGCAGUGGGGAAUAUUGCACAAUCGGCGCAAGCCUGAUGCAGCGACGCCGCGUGGGGGAUGACGGCCUUCGGGUUGUAAACUCCUUUCGCUAGGGACGAAGCUUUUUGUGACGGUACCUAGAUAAGAAGCACCGGCUAACUACGUG
rnacentral:rRNA from 1 species